GGGGUUGUGGCUCAGUGGUAGAGUGCUCCCCUAGUAUGGGUGAGGCCCUGGGUUCUAUCCUCAGCACUACA
rnacentral:tRNA from 1 species